rnacentral:rRNA from 1 species
AUACGGAGGGAGCAAGCGUUAUUCGGAAUCACUGGGCGUAAAGGACGCGUAGGCGGGUUUGUAAGUCAGGUGUGAAAUCCUACAGCUCAACUGUAGAACUGCACUUGAAACUACAGACCUAGAGUAUGGAAGGGGCAGAUGGAAUUAGUGGUGUAGGGGUAAAAUCCGUAGAUAUCACUAGGAAUACCGAAAGCGGAGGCGAUCUGCUGGGACAUUACUGACGCUGAGGCGUGAAAGCGUGGGGAGCAAACAGGAUUAGAAACCCCAGUAGUCC